CGGGGUAUGGCGCAGCUGGGAGCGCGCUUGACUGGGGGUCAAGAGGCCGCAGGUUCAAGUCCUGUUACUCCGACCA
rnacentral:tRNA from 1 species